rnacentral:lncRNA from 1 species
AUGACAUAUAGGCACAAAGAAGGAGGAAGGCGCAAGUCACUCAAAGGCACAAUCAUCACAAGAUCGCGAUGGCCGAUAGAGUGAACGUGAAUGACGACGAUGAAGCACGCCGAAAUGAAAUAAGAACUAUGGUUGUGGAAGAGGUAAAGAAAGCAAUUGAGGCUAGUAUACCCCGACUAGCUCAGGAAGUCGAGGGGCAAGUAUUAGAGGUAGCUAAUACCAUGGUAACAUCUAAGGUGGAAGAAUUGAAAGAAAUGAUUAGUGAACUGCAAGUGAAGAAAAGCAAACGGAGAUGUACGUACAAAGAGUUCAUGGCAUGUAAUCCCUUACCAUACAAAGGGGAUGUUGAUCCGAUAGCUUGCCAAAGGUGGAUUUCAAGCACUGAAGCCGUGUUUACACGAAGUAGAUGUGAAGUGGAAGAUCAAGUAAUGUUUGCCACGGGCCUCCUACAAUUUCGAGCAAAAGAUUGGUGGGAUGCAUACUCGAAGGAAUUGGGGGAUGAUAAAGUACAGUCGUUAACAUGGCAAGAAUUCAAGGAGUCAUUCCUGAAAUAUUAUAGUCCACAAUCCGCAAUUGAUAAGAUUCAGGAAGACUUCUUGCGUCUCAGACAGAAGGAUGA